GCUGAGUCAGAGGCACAGAAUUAGGCCCAGCCUGCUGGGGGGCUGGGCC
rnacentral:miRNA from 1 species